rnacentral:rRNA from 1 species
UAAUACGUAGGGCGCAAGCGUUAUCCGGAAUUAUUGGGCGUAAAGAGCUCGUAGGCGGUUUGUCGCGUCUGCUGUGAAAUCCCGAGGCUCAACCUCGGGCCUGCAGUGGGUACGGGCAGACUAGAGUGCGGUAGGGGAGAUUGGAAUUCCUGGUGUAGCGGUGGAAUGCGCAGAUAUCAGGAGGAACACCGAUGGCGAAGGCAGAUCU